ensembl:snoRNA SNORA63 Small nucleolar RNA SNORA63
AAGCAGGAUUCAGACUACAAUAUAGCUGUUCAGUGCUGUGUUGUCGUUCCCCCUGCUCAAAAUAAGGUUGUUUCUUACUAUACCUGUCUGCUAUCCCUUUGUAGCAGCCAGGGACGCUUGGUCUCAUACAU